AUGCCACAAGCUCCCAGGGAACUGGCAGUGGGACUCUGGGGUGGCACCCAGAGAGCAAGCGGAUCGGGCACAACCUACUGGGACACACAGGGCACUGGAGGAAGAGGGAGAAGUAAUGCUCAGCCCCUUCCCCAGUGUGUUAUCAGAAGCUGGUGGCUAGCCAGCCAACCUUUCCAGGCAGGUGCACACCCUUCAGGGCUUAUGAGUCCACCCUCUUGCCUCCUGCAAAGGGAAAGGGGGUGACGGGGCUAGGUGAUUUUAUUAUUGGAUAAAACUUCUGGUCCUUUAAUAUUUUACCACUUACAUGAAAAUCAGCUUAACGUGUUGAAGGCUACUUGCUUUUUCAGUGGAAUUUUUAAAUGGUGCAGCAGUUACUUUGGCUGCAGUAAAAGCUUGGAACGAGUCAAGCUCCUUUCAGUAUCCUGAGUGGCACAGGUAGUUAUUAAGAUUUAAAGCAUUUUGGCCUUCAGAUCAUAAAAUUCCUAGGGAGUGGGGGUGGAGGUGAAGGGACAAAGAAACGGAAGGGCGAGACUCAGAGGAUUCCUGUAAAUGUCCUUCACUGAUCAAUAACACUUUUAUAGGGCACUGGUCCAUCUGAAAGCCUCGGAGCUCUUUGUGGGAUCACACCAUCCAUCUUCACAGUGUCCUCUCUAAGAGAUAAGGAGCAAAUGGCAACUGAUAUGAAAUGUGAACGAAGAUGUGCUGAAGAUGGGGCUAUCUGUUGUUAUAUUGUUAUUUGUUAUAUUGUCACCAGGAAGUUUCUACUCCAUGAGUAUGGGGCUGGGUAUCCCAACCUGUUGGAAUGCUCAGACUGCUCACAUGGCCAUGGCCUGGGCCAAGUGAAGGAUGAAGGCCGCCAUCUUGCUUUAUGAUCCAUUGGGGGUGGGAGGAGGGCACUAGAAAAGACUAUGAAAGGCCCAUGGGCUGGUCCAAAUGAUGUUUUCGCUGCCUCUAUUUUAAUUAUGAAUUUUUUUGUUUGGCUGUGGCUACCAUUUGGAGCCACAAAAAGUAACUGAGAGCUGUAAAGUAUUUACUAGUAAAGAAAAAAUUAAAUGGAUAAGAAAUGUCACCGUGAGCUGGGGAAGGGAGUAUCAUAGCCUUGCUUCUAACCCCUUCCCCAGCUCAUACUCCCCACCCAGUGAAUCUCAUUAGUUGGUGUGUAAGUAGAAAAUGGUAAUUUAGUCAUGGUUGAAUGUAUCCCAUUUCCUUUCGGUUUUUAGGGACUUUUUUUUCCUUCAUAAUUAUGCUUUUGUGACGAGGGAGGUAUUGGGAUUCUCUGGGGUUUGGGAAUAUCUUUGCUUUAUCCUGAAAGCACCCGUCUAUUCCCUCUGUGCAAUGCUUUCUAAUCCUGCCUAGGAUGGAGAGAUACAAAAUGGGCUUCUAAUUUCAUGGUUGAAGUGAGCAGAGAUAAUAUCAGCUCAGUUCCCCGCAUAAAAAUUAUUUCUAGUACAGAUCUUCUGGAAGUUUGCUUUUGUGGCUGCAGUGUGGUCAGGAGGAUAAGCGUGUGUAUGUAUGUGUACAUAGUUUUCAUGUGCAUAGGUUUGUUUUUUAUUUUUAUUUUUUGAAGAUUUUUAUUUUUUCUAUUAUAGUUGAUUUACAGUGUUCUGUCAAUUUCUGCCGUACAGCGAAGUGACUCAGUCACACAUGUAUAUAUACAUUCCUUUUCACUCAUAUGGAUAAACAGAUGGUGAGGAGCAAUUCUUAAAUAACCUGAGAGUGAGGCAGGCUGCUUUAUAUUAUCAAUGUGAGCGUGCAAGGUGAUUACUUUGAAGUGUUUUGCAGCGCCCCUUGAGAUGGCAGUGUGGCAAGUGUCAGGUCCCCCUGAUGGGGAGCAGUAUUUCAGGUGCCUCUUGCCCUGCUUAUUUCAAGGCAAUCAUCCUGGUGCAGGUUCGGCGUGUUGAUUUUCGGCCUUUGCUGUGCUGUCAUCUAAAAGGAACCGGGAGAGGAGAGGGUUAAGGAAAAUAAAUGGGGUCCGACGUGACCAUCUUUCUCCCUUUUUCAGCUUUUUAGAAGAUAAAUGUUUCAGAUUUCAAUCUGUGGUUCCCAGCAGCUUUUUGGGAACACUGCAGUCAGCCCACAGCAAUUGCUACUGCUGAGCCAACCCUAGAUAAUGCCUCUCAGCAGGGAUGACAUAAUGUUCUAAAAGAAGACUAUGAUGUAAUGCCCAUCUCAGAAAUCAGAGCCAAUUUCCGUUACAAAGCCUUGGAGUGUAGCAGGAGGUAAUGAGCUAGCAUAAAUUGUGCAGCUCGGAAAACUUCUAGGUCUGAUAUUCUGAUCUGCAUGUUUAAAGGCGCAAAAAAAAAAAAAAAAAAAAAAGGAAAAAGAAUUCCUAGAUCUGCUGGGCUUAAGAGCAUCUGCUCAGCAAGAAGCUCUGCCCCCUUCCCAUUUGGACAGACUGGUGCCCCAGGCUGCCCGGAUCACCUUGGUGCAAGGGGGAGAGAGUUGUCUGGGUCUGUCAUCUGCAGCAAGGUGGUGAUGUAAUGCGUGAGGCUAAAUCUGUCUCUGCAGAUAAUGUCGGAGAAGCGGGUGUGGUGUUUGAAGGAGAUCGUGCCUUCCCUGGCAUGUGGGGGUAACUAGGCUGGAAAUACCUUGGAGGAAGUCAGGGGUGGGGGUGAGAGCCCUGAAGAAAGUCAGGAUCACCUUGAAAACCUGAGUAGGUGCAACCUGCUCUGGUGUGAAGUACACGUGUGGGGUACCCAAUACCCAAGAACUGGUCUCCCAGAUAUCCAGUCCCUGCCGCUGCCCCUCAAUUAAUGAUGCAUCCCGACCCCCUGGGGUGUAGCCUGCCUAGCAACCAGGGUCCAGCUCUUUGUCGUGUCUCGUAUAAAUGUUGAAAACAGCCAUUAAUUCCUCUAAGCAAUGAUCUAGAGUUGCAGAGAAUAAGGAAAGGACGGUUUUUGAUUUAAAAGGCGUCCCACGCCAUUCCCACUACAAUUUCCUAUGUUGGUUCAUUCUUCCCUCUGUUUUAUUUUGAAUUGCUCUGAGUGUUUGCGUGAGGAACAUAUUUCUAUUUUGUUUGUCUUCCAGCGUAUUUCUCACUGGGGGGCUUGAUCCUGUAACCUUCUGUGCAUACCAGCAACUCCUCUUGGAUGGAUCGCUGGUGGUUUUACGUCCCUUCCUGCUGCAGAUCCGGCCUUCGGUGCCACAGCCUUGGGUGCUGACAGCACUGGCAGAGAAUUGCUGGCUUCACCAAUGAAUGCUGGGUCUCUAAGUAGAGAAUGAACAUCAGGAGCA
rnacentral:lncRNA from 9 species